AUGCACGCUGGCGGCGUGCCUAAUACAUGCAAGUCGAGCGAACGGACGAGAAGCUUGCUUCUCUGAUGUUAGCGGCGGACGGGUGAGUAACACGUGGAUAACCUACCUAUAAGACUGGGAUAACUUCGGGAAACCGGAGCUAAUACCGGAUAAUAUUUUGAACCGCAUGGUUCAAAAGUAAAAGACGGUCUUGCUGUCACUUAUAGAUGGAUCCGCGCUGCAUUAGCUAGUUGGUAAGGUAACGGCUUACCAAGGCAACGAUGCAUAGCCGACCUGAGAGGGUGAUCGGCCACACUGGAACUGAGACACGGUCCAGACUCCUACGGGAGGCAGCAGUAGGGAAUCUUCCGCAAUGGGCGAAAGCCUGACGGAGCAACGCCGCGUGAGUGAUGAAGGUCUUCGGAUCGUAAAACUCUGUUAUUAGGGAAGAACAUAUGUGUAAGUAACUGUGCACAUCUUGACGGUACCUAAUCAGAAAGCCACGGCUAACUACGUG
rnacentral:rRNA from 1 species